CCCCGAGAUGAGUUCUCCCUGACCCUUUAAGGGUCCUGAAGGAACGUUGAAGACGACGACGUUGAUAGGCCGGGUGUGUAAGCGCAGCGAUGCGUUGAGCUAACCGGUACUAAUGAACCGUGAGGCUUAACCUUACAACGCCGAAG
rnacentral:rRNA from 1 species